AUUGAACGCUGGCGGCAGGCUUAACACAUGCAAGUCGAGCGGGGUGAUGGUGCUUGCACUAUCACUUAGCGGCGGACGGGUGAGUAAUGCUUAGGAAUCUGCCUAUUAGUGGGGGACAACAUCUCGAAAGGGAUGCUAAUACCGCAUACGUCCUACGGGAGAAAGCAGGGGAUCACUUGUGACCUUGCGCUAAUAGAUGAGCCUAAGUCGGAUUAGCCAGUUGGUGGGGUAAAGGCCUACCAAGGCGACGAUCUGUAGCGGGUCUGGAGAGGUGGUCCAGCACAGGGGGACUGAGACACGGCCCAGACUCCUACGGGAGGCAGCAGUGGGGAAUAUUGGACAAUGGGGGGAACCCGGAUCCAGCCAUGCCGCGUGUGUGAAGAAGGCCUUAUGGUUGUAAAGCACUUUAAGCGAGGAGGAGGCUCUUUUGGUUAAUACCCAAGAUGAGUGGACGUUACUCGCAGAAUAAGCACCGGCUAACUCUGUGCCAGCCGCCGCCGUAA
rnacentral:rRNA from 1 species